GCUUAUAAUCCAUGGACAAACCAUCAAAUAAAAAACUUAUUUUCAUUUUCUUUCUUUCUCUCUCUCUCUCUCGCAAUACCUUCUUCCUUAGCUUAUUCAUAAGCAUGGUUGAGGGGAAUGUUGUCUGGUGCGAAAUUAUUCAUGUAUCAAUUUUUUACGUGAAUGAUUUCGGACCAGGCUUCAUUCCCCUCAACAUAGACAUGCUGAAAUUAAAAUAUUCAGAUUUUUAAGAAGAUUUAAAUGUAUGCAAGCUUUAAGUCGUACUAUUAACAAGCAAAACAAAGUAAUUCAAAACUGCUUUAUGCAUGUUCAUCUUUUAAUCUGGUCAAAAACAGAUAAUUCAGUUAAGAUUUUCCAGAACAUGUGAACAUUUGCUGGCAAAGGUUGAACUGUUGAAUGAAUGAAUUUUAGAUAAAAGUGAGUGAUCACUUUUGAGCUUCAGGUUUAUUCUCCUAAUGUUGAAGUAUUAUUAUUGUCAAAUGUUAAUAAUUUAUAUUUGUUAUAUUUUUAAUUUAUGUAUAGAGCGCAUUUCAUAAUGAAAUUGUCUCAUACUCAUUUUAUAAACUUGAGAAGUAACUCCUAUUAUUAUAAAUUGGUUUAAAUAUAUUAUUUAUUCAUGGAAAAGUUUGUUUAUAGGAGCUUAAUCUAAUUUAGUUUGACUUUAAAAUUAUGAAAGUCAAAGACAUUUCUUAAAUUAUUGUUUUCAGCUGGAACAUAUAAGUUUUUAUCAUUGAAAGAAACAAAAUAAUGUGGUUAGAAAAAAAAAUUAAAAGAAAUAUUAGGGAUGGCAAUGGGUAUUGGACCCAACCCGAAUCCGUGGAUCCGUAUCUAUUUUUACGGAUUUGGAUCCUUAAAAAAUGGACCCGGCGGAUCCGGGUCGGGUCCGGAUUUGGAUCUGAGAAAAAUACCUAGACCCGAACCCAUUUUAUUUUUUUAUAUAUUAAUUUUAUUAAAUAUAUAUAAUUUUCUAAUUCUAAUUUUUCCUCCCAGACUCCAAUACUCCCCCUGUAAGCCCAGGCACUCACGAAUCAGGUGCACUUGAUAUAUUUUCUAAUUCUAAUUUGCAAUAAAGCUAUAUUUAUAGACUAAUGAUAAUAAAUUAUUAUCAUUAGUCUAUAAAUAUAGCUUUAUUGCAAAUUUACAAUCUCAACACCAUUCAAAAAUACAAAAAAAAAAAAGCAAAAACAAGUCAGACUCGUUUUGGAUCCGAAUCCAGUACUGGAUCCGCAGUAUCCACGGAUCCGAAUCUGGGUCUAGCAAAAAUGGACCCGCGGAUCCGAGUCCGAAUCUGAAUCCUGUUCUUGAAAACGGAUUUGGAUCCGGGUCCACCUGGACCCAGUCCAAAUCCGACCCGUUGCCAUCCCUAAUCGUACAUAUAUAUACUUAUAUAUUUGACUUUUUAGUUUUGACCAAUAAUAAUAUUAGAAUUUAUAUUUUCAAUAACCAACUACACCAAAACAAGCUUCGCUACCAUAGUCCAUAAAUAUACUAUGGUAUAAACAUACUCGCUCCUUUUUCAUUUUAAAGUCCGUUACAAUUGUUGGCUUUAAGCAAUUAAAAAUAAACUAAAUAUAAUAUAGUAUAAUAUCACAAAUUUUUCUCAUAUAAAACAAUUGUAUUUUAAAAACAGUUUUAAAUUGGCUAAAUAGUCCAGUCAAACCAAUUAAAACGUCUGCUUUGAACAUUAAAACACUCACUUUUUGAAUUUCAGAUAUGUAUCACAAUGAGACAAUCUACAAGAUUUACGUUAUAUUAAAUACAAAAUGUAAAGAAUGUUACGGUCUAAAUAUGAUGGGCUCAUGUCAUAAUAUAGUUGAAUAUAUUAUGUAUCGAUAAAAUAUGAUCGUAAAUAUUGCACAUGCCCAGAGGCGAGAACAUCCCCUAUGGUUCAUCCUACAAAGGAAAUCAAGUACAUUAACAUGAGCAUGAUAUUAAGAAGACAGCAAAGGCAUGUAUGUAAUGUCAAAGUACAAGCAACUUCUCACAAAAUUGCAGUGCUUCAAGUCUUUGGAUACAACAACAAUAUCAGUCCAAAUAUGAAUUCUGCUCGCACAUUAUAAUUCUGCAAAUGUUCAUUGUUCAAAGUACACAAUCUUAUCUUAUCCCAAGACCAUAAAAGUUUUCGUUCUUUUAAGCCGAUUCAUUUUCAAGUUUAAAUUAAUUGAUGUUAAAAUUAUGUUAUUUUCGGCUUUCAUUUAAGUUUAUUGUCUCUGUCUUUCUAACUUUGUAACACUUUAAAUUGUUUUAUAAUACUUCUUAUUAAAU